UUCGAUGAAGUCAUGUAGGCGGGCCGAAUGUUCUCUUUUAUUGCCUCUCUCUUUUCCCUGCAUCCCCAAUUAUUACCACAAGAGAAGAAGAAUAAGAAGCAGCAAUGGAGAAGAAAACCUUAAAAUCCUCAAAAUCAGUUGCCGCUUUACCAUCCUCCAUUGACGAGAGGACAACAUUGUCAAAGGAUGUUAUCAUGGACUUCUUCUCAAGGCUACCCACAAAGUCAUUAUGCAUAUUAAGGUCCGUUUGGAAACAAUGGUGAAUCAUACUUGAUGACCCAUUCUUCAAAUCCCUACACAGAACAAAUUCAUCUCAGAAACCCAACUUGCUAUUGCUCCAAGAAAAAUCCUACCUUCAUUGCAUAAUCUACGGUACCUCUACUACUAAACUAACUCUGUCAUCAAUUGAUUUUGAAGGAAAUCAUAACUUCGACUUCACAUUUACUUUAGAUGGUUAUGUCAAUAUGUUGCCAUCCAAAUCGGAGUUGAUUUGCUUUGUUAGUAUCCAAGGGUUUUAUGUAUGUAACCCUAGUACUCAAGAAUUAGUUAAAUUACCUAAAUCUCAUUUUUGUGAUAUGAAAGAUGGUAGUGCAUUUGGGUAUGUAAAGGAUAGGAAUGAGUAUGUUUUGGUUAAUGCUCGUUGUAUUAAUUAUGAAAUUGAGGUGGACUGAUUGUUGUUGUUUAAAAGAUUGUUAUUGGUGGAUUGUUAGUUUGAAAUGCCCGUGUUAUCUUCGUUUGUCAGGAAUUUUGAUUGAAAAUAGUUGUUAUUGGAUUGGAUACAAUGACAAGUAUGAUAACACAAAGAUUGAUGCAAUUGUGUCGUUCGAUUUGGAGAAAGAGGAGUAUAGUACAUUGGUGUUACCAGAAGGUCGUUUUGAUCCUGAGGGAGUUUGGAGUUUGGUGGAAUUGAAAGGGUUGUUGAUUCACCCGAGGACGAAUCUUUCAAAUAUCCAUGAAAGAUUCAAAGAAUCAUACAUGGGCUAAUUAAGGAGUACAUUAUUGAUUUGAGCAUGUUUGAGUUUGGCUUCGAUUUUAUCACUCCUCUGGAUUAUAAGGAAGGGAAGAUUCUUAUGGAUGUUAAAUUCGAAAGUCUUGAGUGGUAUGAUGUGGAGUACAAGUGUUUCAAGAAAAUAGACAAUCUAACUUCACGACGAUGGAGAUGGUCUGUACUUUAAACUGAUGGCUUGUUUUCCUUGGGAAGUCGAUAUGUAGGUGGGGUAUAAUGUUUUCAGGUACUGUAUAUGGUUUGCUUCGACAACCAUAGUGUUUCACCCUUUGCUUAGAGACUGCAAAUAGUGAUGAUUAUGAAACAGAUUGAUGUUGCUUAAAGGUAUUGUAGAUUGCAGAGUUUAACUUGGUGCCUUAGCAUCCUGCACAGAUUAUCUUCUUCCAUCUGCAGUCUGUCGAAAGAAAUGGUUAUCGACUUAUCGUUGUUGAAGUGCUUAUUUUUGCUGCUGUCUUAGCAAGAAAGCAUUUUAUCUUUGUAUCUAUGCUUGGUGGCCCAUUUUUCUAUUUCUAGCUUAGUGCUUAUGUGCAAUUUAACUAGCGUUUGGUCAUAAAUUUGUUCUCUCAUUUUAACGAAAAUGGCUAAGAUGGAACUAUUAUGUGGGGCAAAGUCUAGAGGAGAUUGGUAUUGGUAGAGUAGCAUUCAACCCCGUCUUUUUGCUCUUUCGACUGGUAAUCACAUUGCUAUUUCACUAAUUUAGGGGAUAAUUAUCUA